rnacentral:rRNA from 1 species
GACGAACGCUGGCGGCAUGCCUAACACAUGCAAGUCGAACGAGACCUUCGGGUCUAGUGGCGCACGGGUGCGUAACGCGUGGGAACCUGCCCUUAGGUUCGGAAUAACUCCCCGAAAGGGGUGCUAAUACCGGAUAAUGUCUUCGGACCAAAGAUUUAUCGCCUUUGGAUGGGCCCGCGUUGGAUUAGCUAGUUGGUAGGGUAAAAGCCUACCAAGGCGACGAUCCAUAGCUGGUCUGAGAGGAUGAUCAGCCACACUGGGACUGAGACACGGCCCAGAAUCCUACGGGAGGCAGCAGUGGGGAAUAUUGGACAAUGGGCGAAAGCCUGAUCCAGCAAUGCCGCGUGAGUGAUGAAGGCCUUAGGGUUGUAAAGCUCUUUUACCCGGGAUGAUAAUGACAGUACCGGGAGAAUAAGCUCCGGCUAACUCCGUG